rnacentral:rRNA from 1 species
GAUGAACGCUGGCGGCGUGCCUAAUACAUGCAAGUCGAACGCAUUGUGGUUGAAAUGAUAUGAAGAACUUGUUCAGAUUUGAUUUUCAACAUUGCAAUGAGUGGCGAACGGGUGAGUAACACGUGGGAAACCUACCUCUUAGCAGGGGAUAACAUUUGGAACAAAUGCUAAUACCGUAUAAUAAUUAAAACCGCAUGGUUUUAGUUUAAAAGAUGGUCUUGCUAUCACUAAGAGAUGGUCCCGCGGUGUAUUAGUUAGUUGGUGAGGUAAUGGCUCACCAAGACAAUGAUACAUAGCCGAGUUGAGAGACUGACCGGCCACAAUGGGACUGAGACACGGCCCAUACUCCUACGGGAGGCAGCAGUAGGGAAUCUUCCACAAUGGACGAAAGUCUGAUGGAGCAACGCCGCGUGUGUGAUGAAGGUUUCGGCUCGUAAAACACUGUUGUAAGAGAAGAAUGACAUUGAGAGUAACUGUUCAAUGU